rnacentral:rRNA from 1 species
AGGACGAACGCUGGCGGCGUGCUUAACACAUGCAAGUCGAGCGGUAAGGCCUUUCGGGGUACACGAGCGGCGAACGGGUGAGUAACACGUGGGUGAUCUGCCCUGCACUCUGGGAUAAGCCUGGGAAACUGGGUCUAAUACCGGAUAUGACCUGCUCUCGCAGUGGGGGGUGGGUGGAAAGAUUUAUCGGUGCAGGAUGGGCCCGCGGCCUAUCAGCUUGGUUGGUGGGGUAAUGGCCUACCAAGGCGACGACGGGUAGCCGACCUGAGAGGGUGACCGGCCACACUGGGACUGAGACACGGCCCAGACUCCUACGGGAGGCAGCAGUGGGAAUAUUGCACAAUGGGACGAAAGCCUGAUGCAGCGACGCCGCGUGAGGAUGAAGGCCUUCGGGUUGUAAACCUCUUUCAGCAGGACGAAGCGCAAGUGACGGUACCUGCAAGAAGAAGCACCGGACUAACUACGUGCCAGCAGCCGAC